UCAGAUAUGGCGUAAUGGCUGACUUUAGUGCCUGGUAUUUGGCUGCGCGCUGGUUGGGGGUUCGAUUCCCCGUAUCCGAA